ACAACAUUCGGACCGUCGGUCUACCGAGAAAUAUCACCAGCUCGGUGGAAGA
rnacentral:pre_miRNA from 1 species